rnacentral:rRNA from 1 species
CGGACGGGUGAGUAAUGUCUGGGAAACUGCCCGAUGGAGGGGGAUAACUACUGGAAACGGUAGCUAAUACCGCAUAACGUCGCAAGACCAAAGAGGGGGACCUUCGGGCCUCUUGCCAUCGGAUGUGCCCAGAUGGGAUUAGCUAGUAGGUGGGGUAACGGCUCACCUAGACGACGAUCCCUAGCUGGUCUGAGAGGAUGACCAGCCACACUGGAACUGAGACACGGUCCAG